CAGAUGGUUAAAUUUUCAGAAAACACAAUAUGACAGUGAGUUGGAUUGAUGGAAGUUGCUGGAACAGAAGGAUCAGAAUUUCCCUUCACGUCUCUUGGGUUGCAGUGUCAGUAGGUGUGUCGUCAUCUACAUCUGCGUGGCUGAAGUCAGAACUUUUGUCAUCAAUAUUUUAUGGGCAUCAUAACUACUGAGGAAUUUAUGUUUCAGAUUGUGGGAACAAGGGGAGUGUAUUAAGGAUCAAAGCAAAGCCUGAGGAUGAUGGGAGCAUAAAAAUACCUUUAUUAUCCAUUGCAGGACUCUUACAGGACAGAUGCCUUCUCAAGUUGUGCAUCCAGACAGAAGUAAAAGCUGGAUCAGUUAAGAAAAAGUCAGUGGUGGUGCAGAUGGUGAUGACAGCUCAUACAGAAAUGCUGCUAGAUUUCUAACCAUUGCCUCGAAAUACUGAUUUCAAACUGCAGUGCUAUAAUGACAGCAUUAAUGAAGGUUCCUUCAGCCAUGCUUCUUUUCCAGAUGGAAGAUGAAAGAAAGGUACAGAUAGAGAAUCAGCCACCUAAGC